UCUCCAAGAGUCUUACAAUAUUUAUAGACAGAAAACAUAAGCCCAACCGUCUAAACUCACCAGGAAGUAUGGCUUCUUCCUUUCCCCUGAUCUCCCUCUUCAUGCCCUCUGUGAGAGCCUCAAACAUCACCUGCAGCACGUGGCAUGUGGCCAGAGAAACUGAUGAGACUCCUGAUCCCAUUACUGCACACAGUUGCUCCAUCCCCAGUUCAUUCACUAUAGCCAUAGUCUAGGAAUAGAGACAAAAAUGACAGCAUUAAGAAUGUAAGAACAAGGUGGAUACUGCUUCUGGGUAGAGAUCCAUUCUUUCAUUAAAUUCAAAUUAGAAAUGCAUCCAUACACAAAAAAAUGUGCCCUGCUAGAGAGUUUUUGGAUUUCCUCAUGUUUUGAAUACCUAAUUUCAAAUUACAGUGCUGUUGUUCUAUCUAGUGGGCAUGUUGGUAAAUUGCUGUUUCUCAAAAUCUCUCCUAAAUAAUGCACUAACCUAAUUAUAUCAAAAUUGAGAAAAGAGACAAUAUGAUAAAUAUAGAUACAAUGAGUAAACAACUAUUGUAAUAAAUAAAAUCAAAUAUCAGGGAAUUACUCUGGACUGAUGCUCUGUACACAAGCCAACCAGAGUCCUCAGAGCAGAAAGGACAACAUCCUCUUGCUUGGACUGAAGAAGUUUGUGAAUUAGCUUCACGCCAUCGUUACGGAAGAUCUGCUCAGCUCCAGCAUCUUCCCGAGAUAAGACCACUAGAUUCUGGGCUGCCUGAAAUCAUUCAAUGAUUACAUUAUUUGUGCAGAACUUUACAAAUACAACUGUGUUAGCUUUAUAUUAUUUCUAGGGAAGAAACUUUACCUUUUGUCGGUCAGAAUCUUUUACAGAUGUUUCCACGAGUAGCGAGAACAUCUGUUUCACACGGGCAUCUGUGGAGUUCUGCUCUACUGACUACAUGUAUUAAGUGGGGAAAAAAGGCACAACUAUAGAUGUGUGUUUUUUUUUCCCCAUGUCAUAAAAUAUACACACGGGUUGCACAUCACCUUCUGCUGAAUUUGUGUCCCCAGCUGUCUGAGCAGAUCCUGGAAUGCUUUGUUUUUAGGCUCAAGCUGGGCACACCUCUGAGCAUCGAGAACAGCUUGGUCAAGGCGUCCAAGUUUCUGAAAAGCCUGGGCCCUCCUAAAUCUCGCCUUCACAUCACUUGGCUGGAACAGCUAGAGAAAAUUCUCGCCAGCAUGAGAACAUGCAAACUCCACCCAAGUCAGGAACCCAGAACCUGCAAUUGUUGAGCUGAAAAUGUCACAUGUACAGAAACCGAAAACAGCUGGUUAACCAAUAUUAUUGGUGUGCCCGAGGCGGACAUACACCAGCAAGAGGAUCAAUCGUCCUGUCCCAUUCGCAGAAAAACAGCCCCAAAGCAUGAUGUUUCCACCCCCAUGCUUCACAGUAGGUAUGGUGUUCUUGGGAUGCAACUCAGUAUUCUUCUUCCUCCAAACACGACAAGUUGAGUUUAUACCAAAAUGGAUACAUGGAUGAUACAGCAGAGGAUUUGGAGAAUGCCAUGUGGUCAGAUCCGUGUUAAGGAAAGAAUGAAUAGGGCAAUGUAUCGUGAGAUUUUGAACCAAAACCUCCUUCCAUCAGUGAGAGCUUUGAAUGGUUGACCAAAUACUUAUU